CAUGUCCUUAAGAUUUUAAUUUUAGGUCUAAUCUGCUCAAUGAUUAUUUAAAUAGCCGCGAUAAUUUGAUCGUGCGAAGGUAGCAUAAUCAUUAGUUUCUUAAUUAGAAGCUGGUAUGAAUGAUUGGACGAGAUAAAUACUGUCUCAAUUUUAAAUUUAGAAGUUAAUUUUUAAGUAAGAAAGCUUAAAUUUUUUAAAAAGACGAGAAGACCCUAUAGAGUUUUAUGAUUAAAAUAUUAGAAGUUUUUGGUAUUAAUAAUUUUUAAUUUUGAGUUCAUUUGGUUGGGGUGACUGAAAAAUUUGAUAAACUUUUUCUUUUUAAAAUAUUGAUUUAUAGGUUAUUGAUUAAUUCUUUAUUAUUAUAAGAUUAAAUUACCUUAGGGAUAACAGCGUUAUUCUUCUUAAGAGUUCUUAUCGAAAGAAGAGUUUGCGACCUCGAUGUUGGAUUAAAAUUUAAUUUGGGUGUAGAAGCUUGAAUUUUUAGUCUGUUCGACUAUUAAAAUUUUACAUGAUCUGAGU
rnacentral:rRNA from 1 species